GUCGUGGUAGCUCAGUGGUAAAGCAUCGAACGCAUUAUUCGAAGGUCGCAGGUUCGGAUCCUGCCCACGGCA
rnacentral:tRNA from 1 species